AGGUUUCUUCGGAGACCGAGUAGAGUGGCGCACGGGUGAGUAACGCGUAAGUAAUCUACCCCGGCAUCUGGAAUAACUCACCGAAAGGUGUGCUAAUACCGGAUACGUUGGUAACAAGAAAGGUGGCCUCUGCAUAUGCUACCGUGCUGGGAUGAGCUUGCGUACCAUUAGCUAGUUGGUAGGGUAAUGGCCUACCAAGGCGACGAUGGUUAGCGGGUCUGAGAGGAUGAUCCGCCACACUGGAACUGGAACACGGACCAGACUCCUACGGGAGGCAGCAGUGAGGAAUAUUGCGCAAUGGGGGCAACCCUGACGCAGCGACGCCGCGUGGAUGAUGAAGGCCUUCGGGUCGUAAAAUCCUGUCAGGUGGAAAGAAGUGCACGGUGGCUAAUAUCCACUGUGUUUGACGGUACCACCGAAGGAAGCGCCGGCUAACUCCGUGCCAGCAGCCGCGGUAAUACGGAGGGUGCAAGCGUUGUUCGGAAUUACUGGGCGUAAAGCGCGCGUAGGCGGUUUGUUAAGUCAGAUGUGAAAGCCCUCGGCUCAACCGGGGACGUGCAUUUGAAACUGGCAGACUUGAGUACUGGAGGGGGUGGUGGAAUUCCCGGUGUAGAGGUGAAAUUCGUAGAUAUCGGGAGGAAUACCGGUGG
rnacentral:rRNA from 1 species